AAACACGUGUUCCCUCAUCUUUCUCUUUCCCUCUUUCCCUCUAUUCUUGUGCGUCUCCUCUGUCUUUUCAUGGAGAACAACAAAAAUUCGCAGAAAAUCUCAAAUCAAUAAAACCUAAAUUCAAAGGUGACAAAGUUGUGAUGAAAGCAGGCAGCAACCCUUUUUGACGAAUGAGAGUGCUAUUUAUUCAACCGUUCAAAAUUACAAUUUUUUUACACUAUGGAGGGUUCAACUUGAAGGAGAAGAAGAAAAUCGGAAGUGAAGGUAGAGCAAAUUGAUGGGAAAUUAGAGGAGAGUGAUUCCAGUUCUGAGCUGGUGGAUCAAUUUGGUGAUGAAAUUUCACAUUUAGCUAUCGAUAUUGGAGCAGCACCAUCAACUCUUUUGUCAAGGAAAAGAAGGUGGUCCAGAUGCCACUGAAUUGAGCAGUAUCUGCAAACAUCAACCUACAAGACAAGGAGACCUAAUAACAAACAGAAUUGAGUAUUAGUAUGUGUAUGUGUGACAUGUACGGGUGACGUAUUCUACUACAAGAAGCAAAGGAAAAACAAGAAAGUGCAAGCCAAAGGAAAAGGAAAUGGAGGAGAGAAGAAGAAGUUACUUUAGAUGGAUAUGUAAUGCUUCGUUAGUUCUUUUCGAUUUCUCAUUGUGUCUUGCUCUUAGCGCAAUAUAGAUGUGUAUGAGGUCUCAGGUUCAAUUCCCGGUAGAGACAAAAAUACUAGGUUAUUUCUUCUCAUCUGUUCUAGCCUUGGGACUGCUCUUAUAUGAGAACUAUAGUUUCAUUUGCAUGGCAAAACAAUUCUAACACAAUAGGUAGCCUAAUUAGGCUCUUCAUCACAUCAAAUUCUUAGAAAUUUACAGCAUUUAUAAUUAAGCAUGUAUAUUUUUUUGAUGACCGUGAUGUCCGUGCGCGUACCUUGACUAAUUUCACGGGAUACCUGUCACCUCCUACCACCAUAUAAUGACUGCUCUUCGAAAGGUCGGUCAAAGGCAGCUAGGUGAUCCACCACUACAUCAUAUCCCUGGGUUGGUCUUUCUAAUCGAUCAGAACAUGAACGGGUGUGAAGAUCUUGAAUGCAAGAGUGAGUUUGCCUUCAUGGAAAAGAGCCUCUUCGUUGCAAGCGGAACCCACGACCACUUUUUGAGAAUCACCGGAAGACAUUUUGGAUAUUUUAACAAAUAACCAACAGGAGGCAACAACUCUCUCUAUGGUCUCUAGCACUCCACGGCAGUAACAACAACACGCUUCCCGACAGCAGAUGUUGCCACUUUGUUUAGCCACUUUAGUAGAAGAUAAGCAUCUUUUGUAUGAUCAACAAUUUUGAAAUGACGAUUCUCCAUCGUCAGUAACUUUAAAUACUUGUACUACUGUGAUGUCUCACUCACACCGUGCUCCCUAUAGAUUUUUUAUCAAGUAAUAAAAUUUCUUCUCAUGAAUCAUGAUCAAAAAAAAAAAUGCAAGACCAUUUGCAAAAAAUUGAAGCUCCUGCAGAAGAUAAGAUUUCAAAUGUGUGUUGGAGAAUUGACGUGUUGAGAGCUCUUUAAGCAUUUGCAUUUUUGUAUUCAUAGCGUUUGCAUCUAUAAAG